rnacentral:rRNA from 1 species
AGCGAACGCUGGCGGCAGGCCUAACACAUGCAAGUCGAACGAACCCUUCGGGGUUAGUGGCGGACGGGUGAGUAACACGUGGGAACGUGCCUUUAGGUUCGGAAUAACUCAGGGAAACUUGUGCUAAUACCGAAUGUGCCCUUCGGGGGAAAGAUUUAUCGCCUUUAGAGCGGCCCGCGUCUGAUUAGCCAGUUGGUGAGGUAAUGGCUAACCAAGGCUACGAUCAGUAGCUGGUCUGAGAGGAUGACCAGCCACAUUGGGACUGAGACACGGCCCAAACUCCUACGGGAGGCAGCAGUGGGGAAUCUUGCGCAAUGGGCGAAAGCCUGACGCAGCCAUGCCGCGUGGAUGAUGAAGGUCUUAGGAUUGUAAAAUCCUUUCACCGGUGAAGAUAAUGACUGUAGCCGGAGAAGAAGCCCCGGCUAACUUCGUGCCAGCCGCCGCUGUAACAC